UACCAGACUCCUACGGGAGGCAGCAGUGGGGAAUAUUGCACAAUGGGGGAAACCCUGAUGCAGCGACGCCGCGUGAAGGAUGAAGUAUUUCGGUAUGUAAACUUCUAUCAGCAGGGAAGAAAAUGACGGUACCUGACUAAGAAGCCCCGGCUAACUACGUGCCAGCAGCCGCGGUAAUACGUAGGGGGCAAGCGUUAUCCGGAUUUACUGGGUGUAAAGGGAGCGUAGACGGCAUGGCAAGUCUGAUGUGAAAACCCGGGGCUCAACCCCGGGACUGCAUUGGAAACUGGCGGGCUGGAGUGCCGGAGAGGUAAGCGGAAUUCCUAGUGUAGCGGUGAAAUGCGUAGAUAUUAGGAGGAACACCAGUGGCGAAGGCGGCUUACUGGACGGCAACUGACGCUGAGGCUCGAAAGCGUGGGGAGCAAACAGGAUUAGAUACCCCGGUACA
rnacentral:rRNA from 1 species